GAUGAACGCUAGCGGAAGGCUUAAUACAUGCAAGUCGAGCGGUAGGUGGCUUCGGCCAUUGAGAGCGGCGCACGGGUGAGUAACGCGUACAUGACCUGCCUGUCAGAAGGGGAUAGCCCUGGGAAACUGGGAUUAAUACCCUAUGGUAUUGAUAUUAUGAAUGAUAUCAAUUAAAGUUGAGGCGCUGACAAAUGGAUGUGCGUCUGAUUAGCUAGUUGGUAGGGUAACGGCCUACCAAGGCGACGAUCAGUAGGGGGCGUGAGAGCGUGGGUCCCCCACACGGGUACUGAGACACGGACCCGACUCCUACGGGAGGCAGCAGUAAGGAAUAUGGUCAAUGCCCGCAAGGGUGAACCAGCCAUUCCGCAUGGAGGAUGAAGGCCCUAUGGGUUGUAAACUUCUUUUAGAUGGGAAGAAAUGCUAGAUGUAUCUGGUACUGACGGUACCAUCAGAAUAAGCACCGGCUAACUCCGUGCCAGCAGCCGCGGUAAU
rnacentral:rRNA from 1 species